CAAAGGCUUGGUCCUGACUUUACUAUUGGCCUCGAUUAUACUUAUACAUGCAAGUAUCUGCACCCCUGUGAGAAUGCCCUCAACCCCCGACCGGGGCUAGGGAGCUGGUAUCAGGCACAAACUUUAGCCCAUGACGCCUUGCUUAGCCACACCCCUAAGGGUACUCAGCAGUAAUAAACAUUAAGCCAUAAGCGUCAGCUUGACUUAAUUAAGAUCACUAGGACCGGUAAAACUCGUGCCAGCCACCGCGGUUAUACGAGAGGUCCAAGUCAAUAGUACCCGGCGUAAAGAGUGGUUAGGAGAACUAAAAACUAGAGCCCUACAUCCCCAUGGCUGUUAUACGCACCCGGGGAAUGGAUGACCUCCUACGAAAGUGGCUUUAAUAUAACUGAACCCACGAAAGCUAUAGAACAAACUGGGAUUAGAUACCCCACUAUGUAUAGCUGUAAACUUCGAUAGCUCAAGUACAUUAACUAUCCGCCCGGGUACUACGAGCGUUAGCUUGAAACCCAAAGGACUUGGCGGUGCCUCAGACCCCCCUAGAGGAGCCUGUUCUAGAACCGAUACCCCCCGUUAAACCUUUCCCUCUCUAGUUCCCACUGCCUAUAUACCGCCGCCGUCAGCUUACCCUAUGAAGGGAUAAUAGUAAGCAUAAAUGGUAAAGCCUAAAACGUCAGGUCGAGGUGUAGCGCAUGAGAAGGUAGAAAUGGGCUACAUUCUCUGAUUCAGGGUACCACGGAAGAGGGAUUGAAAUAUCCCUUUGAAGGAGGAUUUAGCAGUAAGUGGAGAAAUAGAGUGUCCCGCUGAAGCCGGCUCUGAGGCGCGCACAUACCGCCCGUCGCUCUCCCCCAGUGUUUAUGCUAUAACUAUAUUUUAAUACCCCAUAAUUAACUAAGAGGAGAUAAGUCGUAACAUGGUAAGUGUACCGGAAGGUGUACUUGGAAUAAU
rnacentral:ncRNA from 1 species